UGUGUUAUAGCUCAGUGAUAGAGUACUUGCCUAGAACAUGCAAGACCCUGGGUUCAAUCCCUAGCACCACAC
rnacentral:tRNA from 1 species